UACGUAGGGGGCAAGCGUUGUCCAGAUUUAUUGGGCGUAAAGCGCUCGCAGGUGGUUCAUUGCGUCGUGCGUGAAAGACCCCGGCUCAACUGGGGAGGGUCGUGCGAAACGGGUGAACUAGAGGCCAGUAGGGGGAUGCGGAAUUCCGGGUGUAGUGGUGGAAUGCGUAGAGAUCCGGAGGAACACCAGCGGCGAAGGCGGCAUCCUGGACUGGUCCUGACACUCAGGAGCGAAAGCGUGGGGAGCGAUCCGG
rnacentral:rRNA from 1 species